UCCCAUAUUUUUUUAGCUGACAUGCAUGUUGAAAUGCGAUUAAACUCAUUAGCAUCUAAAGCAUAAUAUAAAAUAUUCAUGGCUUUAGCAUUAAGUUGAGUCAUUUUCUUAUCAACCUCAUCCUAUUAUCUUUCAAAUUUGGUUGAUUCUACACCAUCAAUUAUCUUAGUGGGUGUGUGUGGUCUAUUAACUAUAAUACUCCACAUAUCAUAGUCAAGUAUCUGAAUAAAAAUUUUCAUCCGAGCUUUCCAAUAAGUAUAGUUUGACCCAUUGAAAAGUGGAGGUCGGUUUGUAGACUGCUCCUCGGCUAGUAAAGCACCAACUUGAAUUGCCAUAGAUCUUUAGCUUUUUGAUGGUUAAAUCAAAGUAGGGCUAGAGCACUGAGCUCUG
rnacentral:lncRNA from 1 species